UGUUUUUUAUCAAAAAAUAAAUAAGAAAUAAAUAUAAUAAAUUACAUUGUUCACUUACAAAAUCAAUAAAACUGGAAUUUGACCAGGGUUUUCCAAGCUUUAGCAUAAAACAAAUUUAUCUUGCUUGAAUGUUUGUAUGAUGCCUUUGCAGUAAACACAAUAGAUAAUCAUACAUUAUGAUUACUUUUACCUGAUAUAUAUGUACUGGUAUAGUCUAUUCAAACAAUAUAGUAUCAUAUAACAUGUUCCCGGUUCCAAAAAGGUUGGGACAGAAAGCACUGAUUUUUAAACUAUUCUUUGCAGGUAUUGCAAACAACACAAAGAAAAGUAAUAUCAUGUUUUACCUUGUUAGUUUUAUUUAUUUUUGUACGUUUAUGCUAAUUCCUAAAUUGUGGCCUGCAACAAAUGUAAGAAUGAUAAAUAUCAUAGUUCAGUUUAUGAGUGGUUCACGAGCCAAGAUAGGUAGAGGUACCUCAAAACAUAGACCUAGUAUGUGACCUAAUAGUCCAACAAUUUUAGGUCAAGAACCAAUAUUAAAUGCUGUUGAUCUUCAAUUCUUCAGACAGCACUGCAUUAAAAAAACCUGCAGAAAUUGAAAAAAAACAAAACACAAAUACAGCAAUUUGUGUUCUAAGUUCCUAAACGAUAACAGAACGUCAAUAAAAGGAAAGAUGGUGUAACGUAGUAGUAAAGAUACCCUGUCACAACUUUGGAACAUGUUGAAUGGUUUCAGUUAAAUACAGCUCACCAUGGGUUUGCAAAUAAUUGCUGUGUUUAUGUCCCAGCUUUUUUGAAACUGGGGUUCGUACAUCAGCUUACAAGUAUGUGUCACAGGAACCUCCUUAUAUAUCCUUAAAAUAUAUUUGCAAGAUACUAAUAUAUUUAUUUAAUACAGUAGUUUUAUAUGAGAUGUUUAGUAAUGGUGAGAAUAUACUUGAAUAUCUAGGUGUAGUUUCAUAGUUUAAUAACUAACUCCACUUUUGACUUGAUCUGAGUUGUUUAGAGAUGUAAUAUUUAUUUUGUAAGUUAGAGAGGUUUGUUAUUUUAUUAAACCAUGUGUACUGUAUGAACUUAAAUUAUAUGUGAUAAACUGUUAGAUUCUUUAGAGAACAGUUUGUGAGCCCUUUCGAAUGUCUGGGGUUUUUGCAUUAUUAAUGUUAAUUAAGUUUCUUCUGAAUCAAAAUGUUAGACCAACUUUGCUAAACAGACACUUGGAUUGUUCAUGUUCGUAUUAAACACUUUAGCAUUUAUUAUUAGACUUUUGAUAUCAGAUCAAUGUAAGAUUGAUUGCAUGAAGAAGAUUAUCAGGUCAGGACUGUAAGCUGGCUGUUCCAAAAAUACAAUUCUUUCUUUCCUUUUUAAUUAUGAUUUAUUCUGGGUUUUGGGUCAUUGUCAUUAUUUAACUUCUGUUAAGCUUCAGGUGAUGUCCCAGUAAUGUUCCCUUCACCAGACUUCACAGUUUGCAUAAGGUUUUAGCAGAGUUUUGUUUCUUUAGUUCAUGCAGUUUUGUUAUUUUUAAAAAGAUUUAAAUUAUUGCAGAAAUGUAGAUUAUGUAUUAUGUAUUACACAUUUUCCUUUUUUAUUUACAACUACAUAGGUUGUUUCACAAACUUCACUUAAAUAAUGGCUUUCAAAUGUUUAUUCACAUUGACCCUUUAGACACAGAAAAUCAUCUGACAGUUUUCACAGAUUAUAUCUAAAACUGGCUGCUGCUGUGGUGUAGAAAUCAGAUCCUUGAGUCUUCAUUUUGCUGACUCACUCGGACUCUCAGCAUCUUACAGUUCUUAAGAGUUACUGUGGCUGCUGGUAACGUCGCAAAUGACUUAUGCUUCUGGCCACUAACAAUCAUUCACAAAUGACUAGUGAAACCAGGUGAUGCUCUGUUCCUGAGGGACUACAUGCAUACUAAUGCUUUCUGUAAUACAUUUCCAUUCAGCAGAUGAAUAAAGGAUGUUGAAAGGACA